rnacentral:lncRNA from 1 species
UUCCUCUCUGCACCAAAUUCCUCUCUCUGCAGUUGUCUACUUGCAAGAUCUAGAUCUGCACCAAAUUCCUCUCUCUGCAUUUUCAAAAUUUGAAUUCCCAAAUGAAAAGAGAGGAAGGGGAGACAGAGAGAGAAUGAGAAAUAGAGAGAGAGAGGCGAUGGAGAAGGAGAGAUGACGGCAUGAGAAACCAUAAAUUACAAAAUCGUUCAGAUCUUCAAGGAUUUCCGAUACGAAACCUUUGUUAGGGGACUACAAUCGAAUGGACAAAAGAUUAAGAGGUGUCAAUUUUGUCAUAAUCGAGAGAAGGAUGAACAGGCAGCGACGAACUGGGUUUCGAUAGGAGUUUUAAGGGAGAAUCUUGUGAAUGAAGCACAACUUGAAAAAAAAGCAAACCCAGGGAGCUUCAAAAUAGAGUUAAUCAAAAGAGGCUAAAAUUACAGUCCACGGGGAAGGCGGAAGACGUGGCCGGAUUGUGUGGUGAUUUUUGAUAUUGAAAGGAAGAGUUUUGUGAUUUUGGAAGCUACCAGGUUGCAGAUUCCUAUUAUAGCGCUGGUGGACCUGAGUAUGCCGUUGGAGAGGUUUAAGAAGAUUACGCAUCCUGUUCGGGCGAAUGAUUCGGUGCAGUUUAUGUAUUUGUUUUGUAAUUUGAUUAUGAAAAACGAUCCAAUAUGAGCAGAAGAAGCUCGCUGCAGCUAAAGGGAACGUGGUUAAGGAAGUCGAGCCGAAAAUUGGUGAGGCGGCUUUACCGGCUGGUACGAUUAAGAUAGAUAGUGUAAAUGAUGAAUUGACGGUUCUAUCGUAUGAAGGGUUAUCUCCCGCUUUUGAUGGUAAUUGUGUAAUUUGUUUUACUUAAUAAUCAUUUAUGACUAUCUUUUUAUGCACAUGUGAUAUAUUUCUGAAUACAUAUCCCACAUAAAUCAAGGAGCUUUUGGAAUAACUUGUUGUCGUUAAGAUCAAUGAUAAUAAAGGGACCAAGAUGGGUUUUGAUAGGCAAAAGUAUGGGUUUAUUAUGACCAUCAGUUCUAUCAUUCUUCCACAUCUAAGUUCUAGGAUCACAAAGGUAACCUUUAAACCCUAAAAUGUCUAAAUGUUACCAGAGAGGCUCGAUUCCCUUUCGUUGUUCGUCUAAUAUGAAGAAGAAGGUCCCAUUUGUUCUUAACAAGUAAUUUCAUUAGGGUGUGAGUGAUUGUUGUUCACUGGCUUAACAAGAAUCAAGUGCCGUUAUUUUGAGUUGUUUCUCUCUUUGUUUUUAGGGUUGUUUGCUGCCACAUAUGAGAUACUGGGAUCCUCAGUUUCAAUAACAUCAAUAAUUCAG